GGCGUGCCUAAUACAUGCAAGUAGAACGCUGAAGAGAGGAGCUUGCUCUUCUUGGAUGAGUUGCGAACGGGUGAGUAACGCGUAGGUAACCUGCCUUGUAGCGGGGGAUAACUAUUGGAAACGAUAGCUAAUACCGCAUAACAAUGGAUGACACAUGUCAUUUAUUUGAAAGGGGCAAUUGCUCCACUACAAGAUGGACCUGCGUUGUAUUAGCUAGUAGGUGAGGUAACGGCUCACCAAGGCGACGAUACAUAGCCGACCUGAGAGGGUGAUCGGCCACACUGGGACUGAGACACGGCCCAGACUCCUACGGGAGGCAGCAGUAGGGAAUCUUCGGCAAUGGGGGCAACCCUGACCGAGCAACGCCGCGUGAGUGAAGAAGGUUUUCGGAUCGUAAAGCUCUGUUGUAAGUCAAGAACGAGUGUGAGAGUGGAAAGUUCACACUGUGACGGUAGCUUACCAGAAAGGGACGGCUAACUACGUGC
rnacentral:rRNA from 1 species